rnacentral:rRNA from 1 species
CUUAUCUCCCCCAAGAGUCCACAUCGACGGGGAGGUUUGGCACCUCGAUGUCGGCUCAUCACAUCCUGGGGCUGUAGUAGGUCCCAAGGGUUGGGCUGUUCGCCCAUUAAAGUGGUACGCGAGCUGGGUUCAGAACGUCGUGAGACAGUUCGGUCCCUAUCCGUCGCAGGCGUAGGAAAUUUGAGGAGACCUGUCCUUAGUACGAGAGGACCGGGAUGGACGUACCUCUGGUGUACCAGUUGUCCUGCCAAGGGCAUGGCUGGGUAGCUAUGUACGGAAUGGAUAAGCGCUGAAAGCAUCUAAGCGCGAAGCCAACUUCAAGAUAAGAUUUCCCACCGUAAGGGUAAGAUCCCAGGAAGACUACCUGGUUGAUAGGUCGGAGGUGUAAGUGCAGCAAUGUAUGUAGCUUACCGAUACUAAUAGAUCGAGGACUUGACCAAG